UUUAGUGCUGCAGCUAACGCAUUAAGCACUCCGCCUGGGGAGUACGGUCGCAAGACUGAAACUCAAAGGAAUUGACGGGGGCCCGCACAAGCGGUGGAGCAUGUGGUUUAAUUCGAAGCAACGCGAAGAACCUUACCAGGUCUUGACAUCCUCUGACAACUCUAGAGAUAGAGCGUUCCCCUUCGGGGGACAGAGUGACGGGUGGUGCGUGGUUGUCCUCCUCUCGUGUCGUGAGAUGUUGGGUUAACUCCCGCAACGAGC
rnacentral:rRNA from 1 species